GCCAAGGAAUUCAAGAAAAUUCAUUUUCAAAUACUCAAGAAGCUUAGGGCUAUGGUUUAUAUUUAAUUUAAAGUUUAUUGGCAAAUUAUAGAGUACUUCCUUGUUCGUUUAUAGUUUUAUUAAAUUAGCACUAGUUUCUUAAAGUCUCAGGGGAAAUUUUGUAAUUUUCCUGCUUUGUUCGAAAAUCUAGAUUUCAAUACAAGUCUUUAUAUAAAGUCCUUGUUUGUUAAGGAUUACUUGAAGUUUAAG
rnacentral:misc_RNA from 1 species